rnacentral:rRNA from 1 species
UACGGGGGGAGCAAGCGUUGUUCGGAUUUACUGGGCGUAAAGGGCGCGUAGGCGGUCGUGACAAGUCACUUGUGAAAUCUCCGGGCUUAACUCGGAACGGUCAAGUGAUACUGUCGGGCUCGAGCACUGUAGAGGCAGGUGGAAUUCCGGGUGUAGCGGUGGAAUGCGUAGAGAUCCGGAAGAACACCGGUGGCGAAGGCGGCCUGCUGG